rnacentral:rRNA from 1 species
UACGGAGGAUGCAAGCGUUAUCCGGAAUGAUUGGGCGUAAAGCGUCCGCAGGUGGCUGUGUAAGUCUGCUGUCAAAGAGCGAAGCUCAACUUCGUAAAGGCAGUGGAAACUACACGGCUAGAGUGCGUUCGGGGCAGAGGGAAUUCCUGGUGUAGCGGUGAAAUGCGUAGAGAUCAGGAAGAACACCGGUGGCGAAGGCGGCUCGCUGGACCGGAACUGACGCUGAGGCGCGAAAGCGUGGGGAGCAAACAGG